AAAUCCAUUUAUUUCGAACACACGAAUGACGCAAGAAACAAAUAAAUAAAUAUGGCACAAAACAAACAAUACAGUGAACGCGUCACUCGUGCGUGAAAGGGACAGCGCUCAGCAUAAAUGCUGUGUCUCGCGCACGCAGGCACGAGACAACAGCGCUGGUUUUCAGCGCUGACCCACCUCGCGUCCUAGCCGGAACUACAAAACUUUAACGCUGUUUCGGCAUAAAUACAGUAAAUAAAUAAAUACAUAUAUAUAUAAGUAAUGUAAAUUUAAACAGUUACAAGAACGAUGUAAACUAAACAGAAGAACACAAACUAAAAACAAAAUAUAACACAAUAUGAGAAUAUCAGACAUAGGACAUAGACAAAAAAAGAGCGAAAAAUUAAAAUAGUCGACCAAUGAGCGUCUCGAACCAUAGACAGCGCGGUAAGUGUCAUGUGUCAAAGAUCAGGUUAACCCGGCCAAUUACAUGUGAGAUAUGUUAUUAUGCAAUAUUAUGUGUAUCAAGUGAUGUAAAUAGUGUAAUAUGUGUUAUUGUGUUGUAUAAUUGUGAGUGGAUAUGAAUAUACUAUUAGUGUGGUGUGGGACGACCAAAUUAUAGGAAUCCGGUAGCAUAGAGGAUGACCAUGCGGAGCAGUGUGUGUAAUGCGUUUCAAGGACAAUCCGAGGUCCAGAAAUGACAAUGCUUCGUAUGUAUAUGAAGUGAAGCAGACAGGAGGCAGCAAAACCGCACCACUACAUUGCCGGGGAUCCCAGCAAGGGCUUUGGGCCAUAGCUCUGAGGCCCCUUAAAGGUGGUGGGAGGUCGUUCCAGCAGUGUGUGGCUGCAAAUUUGAAGCUGCCCCUGAAAGCUGCAGUUUUGUGAGAAGGAACCUUCAGCGGAGCAACUAUGGAGCGAAGACCAUGU